GUCCGACAUAAAUAUACUUACGUUCAAAGCACAAUGGCGGAGCAGCCGGAAGUCCUGCAGGUGUUGGCAGCUUCGGAGCAGCAGGGAUGGCCAGACCAGCCAGGCCACUAGAAGAAGGCUGAAACGACAAAGUAUCACAGAAUGGGCAGCUCGAACAACACGCUUCGUUUCCUCACAGUCCUGGAGGCUGGAAGCCCCAGACCAAAGGGCCGCUAGAGUGGGUUCUUCCUGAGGCCUCUCUCUUUGGCUUGUCCCUGGCCGCCUUCUCGCUGUGUCCCCACAUGGCCUCCCCUCUGUGCGCACGUAGAAAGAGCAAGCUCUCUGGCAUGUCUUCUUGCAAGGACAGCAGUCCUGUUGACUCAGGGGCCCACCCUCAGGACCUCAUUUCACCUUAGUCACCGCCCCAAAGGCUUAUCUCCACAUGCAGUCACAUGGGAUUAGGGCUUCAACGGCACAGUCUGGGGAGGACACAGUUCCGUCCGUUUCGGGGAGGGGCCUUUGACUCGGCAGAGAACCGUGGAGAUUCUCCCACCAGGCUCGGAUGUCAACUGGUCUUAUCAGAACACCUACACGUGGCCUCGCCAAUUGGCUCUUGGCUUCCUCACAACAUGGCAGCUGGGUUCCAAGG